rnacentral:rRNA from 1 species
CUACGGGACGCUCCAGUGAGGAAUAUUGCGCAAUGGACGAAAGUCUGACGCAGCCAUGCCGCGUGCAGGAUGACGGCGCUAUGCGUUGUAAACUGCUUUUAUAGGCCAAGAAACCUUCGGACGUGUCCGAAGCUGACGGUAGCAUAUGAAUAAGCACCGGCUAACUCCGUGCCAGCGGCCGCGGUAAUACGGAGGGUGCAAGCGUUAUCCGGAUUUAUUGGGUUUAAAGGGUCCGUAGGCGGAUCAUUAAGUCAGUGGUGAAAGCCGGCAGCUCAACUGUCGAACUGCCAUUGAUACUGGUGAUCUUGAAUACGGUUGAGGUUGGCGGAAUAGGUCAUGUAGCGGUGAAAUGCUUAGAUAUGACCUAGAACACCGAUUGCGAAGGCAGCCAACUAAGCCGUUAUUGACGCUGAGGGACGAAAGCGUGGGGAGCGAACAGGAUUAGAUACCCGCGUAGUC